rnacentral:rRNA from 1 species
ACACGAAGCUGGAAUCGCUAGUAAUCGCGAAUCNGAAUGUCGCGGUGAAUACGUUCCCGGGUCUUGUACACACCGCCCGUCACACCAUGGGAGUCAGCAACGCCCGAAGUCAGUAGCCUAACCGCAAGGGGGGCGCUGCCGAAGGUGGGAUUGGUAAUUGGGGUGAAGUCGUAACAAGGUAGC